CUGCAAGGCUGGCCAGAUUUCAGGUGUGACCUACUGGAUACUGAUACUGAGAUUUUGGAACACUUAAAAACCAGAGGUACUGAUCCAGCUCCUUGGAGGGUUCAAUGUAUCCAGACUUGCCAGCUGCUGAGAGUUCCAGAUGGCAUCAUAUUGCUGACUCUUGGAACUGCUUGUCAUGGGAAGGGAAGAGACCAGACUAUGACUAACAACUAGUGGGUCCUGGGAGCUGAAUAGCAAUUCUGACCAUGCUAGAAUGCUUCUGCAAAUCUGUAUUGAGACAUCUUUUGCAAAGAUUCCCUUUGAGCCCCCUCCUGCCAGACCUCUGAAGAAAAAAACCAAAACAAACCCAAACCACUGAAUCCUCACAUGUGAUGAAAGGCUGGAAGGAAGAGAUGGAGAGGAAGAGAGCAGAAAAUACAAUGACAGGAAAAAGUGAUCAAAAGAGGCAGAGGGAUCAAGGUGGAAUAUUGCUUUAGACUUGUUCAUAUGAUGAAAAAUAAGAAGAAAUUGAUUAUCCAAAGAAGGGUAAAUAUACUUAUACCACGCAUUCAUUUUGCUUUAACAGAAUAAAUCUUAUAAUUUUCUGACUGGUUUUUUUUUUUGGUGGAAAAGAAAAGAUCAUAUUUUUCAUAGUGAUUGUUUUUUCUGUCUCAGUAUUGCUAUUCCUGGGUCUCUACUAUCUAAAAUAUUUAAAUCAUGUUUCAUAAUUGGGUAGUAUGCUUGCUAAUGCUAUUUUCAUAAGCAGAGAUCUUUUAUUUAGGUCUAUCACGAAUUAAAUUUCUUGAAUUUCAACAGAGUGGUAGUGUUGUUAAAUUAUAACCUCCUAUACUAAAAGCGAUGAUACCUCCUAUCAUUCUUUAAAUGUGUUGUACUAUGCAAUUAACAGGAGGAAGUUGAAGAGGUGAUUUAAACACUAAGCAAAUGCUUUUUUUUUUUUUGUGUAUUCUCUUUUAUUCUUUAUUCAUUUUGCAACAAAUCAUGUUUCCUCAUAAAAGGGCUCUGAAUCCAAGGAUUUAGUCAUGUUGUUUGCCUUAUUCUAAAGAAAUUUAUAUUUUGUAUAACUCAUGUAAGAUUUUUUCCUCAUCUGUCUUUAGAAGUAUGUAGAUUUUUUUAAGAUUCUCUCUCCUCAUAUUCUCAUUUCAAAAAUUAAAUAUUUGAAUAAACUCUAAGAAACAAAUAAACAAAAUCUUCGUGUAUCUGCAAGGUCUUUCAGGGAGCCAUUGGAUAAUCAGAAUGCAUUGUGUAAAAUAGAUGGAUUUGCUGAUCAAUAGAUACUUCAGGUAUAUACUAAAUCUUAGAAACUGAAAUUUCUGUAGUCUACAUAUACAAAGUGGUGUCACUUCUUUGAAUAGGAGUUUGAAG